UUCAUGGUUGGUUCGUCCGUUGUCAUGGUUGGGAGCUUAGUUUAAAUAACUCCAAGUCAGACACUACCCGGCACAACAAAUAAGUAAUAUUAUUUGGUUUGUAUAAUAUAUAUGUUUGUGUGAUUUUUUAAAGUUAGUAUUUUUUUUGUUAUUAUUAAAAUAUAUUUUUGGUUAACAUGUUUAAUAUAAUUUUUUUUAAAGUUAUUCUCGC
rnacentral:lncRNA from 1 species